GUGAGUAAAAUAUUAUCAUGAAGCAAGGCCCAGACAAAAAGGGGCCCAGAUGUGGUCCCAACUGAACCACCUACCUCUGAAUAAGGCCAACUGACAGACCUAAGCCUGCUCAGCAAUUCCAAAAGACUAAUGUCUAGCCAGCGGCUUGGACGUGUGUGUGUGUGUGUGUGUGUGUGUGUGUGUGUGUGUGUGUGUGUGUGUGUGUGUGUAAUUGAGGGGGGGGUUAUAAGGUCUUACUUAGCAAGCAGUUUUUAUUCAAAAAUCCAUCCCCAGUGCCUUGCUUCCAUUCUCAAAUGGGGUGGGGGUGGGGGAGAUGCAGUGGGGAAAUGCUGUAUAAUCUUCCUGCUUGAUUACCAGAGCCUUUCCGGAACGUAAUUCUCUCUGAAUGAAAUCUCAAAGGAUUGAGCCUGUGCUAAAGUUUCUAGUAUGAGAGCUGCACCAAGGUGAUAAUGCAAUUAACCUGAGUAAUACUUCAAACGUCUUGCUAAUAUAUACAUCAUGUAUAUGUAUAUGCAUAUGUAUAUGUGUGUAUGUGUAUAUGUAUGUGAUGUAUAUGAUGUAUAUGUAUGUGUAUAUGUAUUGACAGUUUAGACUGUGUUCAUGGUGUGAUUUCAAAAAUUAGCCUCAGAGGUUUGUGAAUUUGCUCAAAUUAAAAGGAUAAAGAUGUGUCAGUAUAAGAAGAACCGGCUGGCUCUUCUUAAUAUUUUCUAAUAUCGCUUAACAGCAUUCUGAACGGCUACACUGCAGCCUUUCUCGGUUCACUUCCUAGACUCUGCAGCAAAAGUCUGUGAUUAUUAUUUAAGGAUCACGGUGAUUCCCUUCACGGCAUGGGGGAAUAAAGAAAAGCAAGAGCAGGGCUAUUAUCCUGUGUUUAUAAGAAGUCUGUUGCCAUAGUAACGCCUGUGAUGUCACAAAUGCUACACCCAGGGCCUGAAGCUGUCUCCGAGGGGGAGGGGCAGCUUGGCCUUGGAAAAUGGACACAAGCAUUCCAGGCCAAAGCAGGGUCAACAGCGAGGUAAUCAUGGAAACACAGGGAGCUCCCUUCACCAGAGAAAGGAAGGGGGUGGAGCAGGGCCAGAAAAGCAACUCCCUGGGCCCAGAAGUGAGCUCACGCAUGCUUCUUAUACGCAGCUGUGCAAAGGGAGUGGAAAUCCAAGCGAAUGUGGUACCUCUGUGUUCCCAGUCAGGAUCACUCCACUGGGCUCACUGGCUGCCAAGACGUGAAUGGGAUCCAGGGUCUGCCCUAGCUCACGAAACUGCCGGGAACCAGUGCCUGCCCAGACAGAGCCUCUAAGGCCCGCAAGAGAUGCAAGUGCCUCACAUGGCAGCCCCCGAGAGCCUAGCUAGGACAUUCCCAUCAAAAGUCAUCAGACUCAGAGAGCCACAGAUUCUCA
rnacentral:lncRNA from 1 species